rnacentral:rRNA from 1 species
AUAGCCGAGUAGCUACGUUCGGAAAGGAUAAGCAUUGAAAGCAUCUAAAUGCCAAGCCUCCCUUAAGAUAAGGUAUCCCUAUGAGACUCCAUAUAGACUAUGUGGUUGAUAGGUUGGGUGUGUACGCACAGUAAUGUGUUUAGCUAACCAAUACUAAUAAGUCCAUUGACUUGGUUUUUAUCAU